AUACCGGCUGCUCGAGUGAUGGCCACUAUUACUGGGUUUAAAGCGUCCGUAGCUUGACUGUUAGGUCUCUUGGGAAAUCUUUUGGCUUAACCAAAAGGCGUCUAAGAGAUACCGGCAUUCUUGGAACUGGGAGAGGUAAGCCGUACUUCGGGGGUAGGAGUGAAAUCUUGUAAUCCUCGAGGGACGACCGAUGGCGAAGGCAGCUGACCAGAGCAGCUUCGACAGUGAGGGACGAAAGCUGGGGGAGCAAACGGGAUUAGAUACCCCGGUAGUCCCAGCCGUAAACAAUGUGCGUUAGGUGUGUCGGUUACCACGCGUAACUGAUGCGCCGAAGAGAAAUCGUGAAACGCACCACCUGGGAAGUACGGUCGCAAGGCUGAAACUUAAAGGAAUUGGCGGGG
rnacentral:rRNA from 1 species